GGAUUUAGGUGAACAGCUUAAAUAGAUUUUACAGCGACACAAUGUUUUAUAUAAAAGGAAAAUAGUAACAAGCAAAUAAAAUAAAUAAAUAAAUUGUUUGGCUGUGUUAAAUCAGUGUAUUUAUAUUAUGCGUCACACACAGUAAAUACGUAAAAUCCCUGACGGGAAACGUUUACGUUUUGCAUUACCGAUCAAAACGCAGCGCACCAACUCAAUGCAGCUCACUUGUCCGAGGUUAAUUAAAUCAGCGCAGCCAACAGGUGCAUGCUGGGCGCAAGCUAGUCGCCCAUGGCUAACCCUACUGUGGGUAGCUAGCUAGGUAGCUAGCCAGGUAGCUAGCUAGUGCCCUGGUCAGCCUUUAAAUGUUUGUUUUUUAUUACAACUGGGCAGCGUCAUGAUGCACCUUGGGAUCAAAAUCGUUGUUGUACCCCCAGUUUUGGUUCUACCCCUGUUAGCAUCUAUUGCCCAGGAUGCCAGCCUUCUCUCCCACACCUCAGCCGUUCCUUAGUUGAGGUGUAUGAUGCUAAACGAGUUCCUCGUUACCUCCCUCCCUCCUUCCAGUGGUCGAUGCCCAUCCUUGGUUAUAUGCGCGAUGCCAGCAGACCUCAUGGAAACCACAGGAAUGUUCCUCCAAACCCACAGACUGCUCCGAACUGCAACCCAGACUAGUUGCGGGAUGAGACCAUCCACAGCCUCCAACCAAAUGUGCUGCUUUCUCAUCAGGCCCAUGCCUCCCAGACCACGCAGGCCUCGAAGCAGUGUGCCCAAGGCAUCCAGGAGUAGAGUGUACAUCAUGCAAAGGUGUGUCAGCCCAGUACAGAGAUCCAGAUUCCAACAAACCCAAAAACAACUAGCAGGACCUUCAGGAAGCAGGGGAUAAUCUACAGGUGGACCAUCACAGGCAGCGGUACAUGACCUGCAGGCUGUUCACCAUGGAGAGGGAGAUGGGAGCAGCUGGAGCAUUUGAUCCGGUAACACCUAUGAGUCAUUCUCCCCUCACACAGUUAAACAGACACACAAUGUGACACACUACACUCAUUUUGCCGUCUCAUUUCAGUGUGGUACAUGAACAACUGCACUUGACAGAUGGUUCUGGUUGAAAACCCUGCGCGCUGUGACAGCUACACGCAGAUGGAGGUGCAGGGUGGAGGGCUCCUCCACUGAUACAACCCAGAGGGACUGGGCACGGCCUCA
rnacentral:lncRNA from 1 species